GAUGAACGCUGGCGGCGUGCCUAAUACAUGCAAGUAGAACGCUGAAGCUUGGUGCUUGCACCGAGCGGAUGAGUUGCGAACGGGUGAGUAACGCGUAGGUAACCUGCCUGGUAGCGGGGGAUAACUAUUGGAAACGAUAGCUAAUACCGCAUAACAGUCGAUAUCGCAUGAUGUUGAUUUGAAAGGGGCAAAUGCUCCACUACCAGAUGGACCUGCGUUGUAUUAGCUAGUUGGUGAGGUAACGGCUCACCAAGGCGACGAUACAUAGCCGACCUGAGAGGGUGAUCGGCCACACUGGGACUGAGACACGGCCCAGACUCCUACGGGAGGCAGCAGUAGGGAAUCUUCGGCAAUGGGGGCAACCCUGACCGAGCAACGCCGCGUGAGUGUAGAAGGUUUUCGGAUCGUAAAGCUCUGUUGUAAGAGAAGAACGAGUGUGAGAGUGGAAAGUUCACACUGUGACGGU
rnacentral:rRNA from 1 species